UACGUAGGGUGCAAGCGUUGUCCGGAAUUAUUGGGCGUAAAGAGCUCGUAGGCGGUUUGUUGCGUCGGCUGUGAAAUCCCGAGGCUCAACCUCGGGUCUGCAGUCGAUACGAGCAAACUAGAGUGUUGCAGGGGAGACUGGAAUUCCUGGUGUAGCGGUGAAAUGCGUAGAGAUCCGGAGGAACACCGACGGCGUAGGCAGCGCCCUGGACGACACCUGACGCUGAGGCACGAAAGCUGGGGGAGCAAACAGG
rnacentral:rRNA from 1 species